GAUCAUGGCUCAGGACAAACGCUGGCGGCGUGCCUAACACAUGCAAGUCGAACGGGCGAAGAGGGAAGCUUGCUUUCCUCAGAGCUAGUGGCGGACGGGUGAGUAACGCGUGAGUAACCUGCCUUGGAGAGGGGAAUAACACAAAGAAAUUUGUGCUAAUACCGCAUAUGGUGGUAGUACCGCAUGGUACAGCCAUGAAAGAUUUAUCGCUCCAAGAUGGACUCGCGUCCGAUUAG
rnacentral:rRNA from 1 species